UAUAUUUUUUAAAAAAAUCUUCCGAGAAACCAAGAAAAACCAAAUUGUAGCUUCGGCUUCCAUUCCAAGGUUCUUCCUUCCUCUCUUCCGAUCAUCACCAAGAGGAAAAACAGCGAAAAAUCACCCCAAAAAAAUUGUAAAAAAGCACAAAUUAAGCAUAAGUCUAGUAUAUAAACACAUACAGCAAACCAAGACCCCAAAAUCCGAGCUUUUCGACUGCAUUACGAGAACUGGAUCAAGUAAAGAAACCGUUCCGAUCAAGAAAUCGAAAACAGAGAGAGAGAGAGAGAGAGAACGAAAAAGAGGUCCAGUUACGAACAAUCGUAUACGAAGCCCUCUGCAAAUCGCUCACCAAGGAAUUCGAAUCGCCGAGCUCUCUUUUUCUCCGGCCUUGGCGUGCGACGCUUGCCUCCCC
rnacentral:lncRNA from 1 species